CUGUAAUGAAAUACCCCAAAUGUCAUUUGUUCCUCUCUGUGCUUCUUUCAAUAUGAGUCUCCAAUGCAACAAGCAACAUUUCUUGUGGAAAAAAAGGUACCUGAAAACUGCUUGGAUUACUGCAGAUGGUGAAAUAAGAAUGAAAGUAAAAGAAAUGAGACAAACAGUGUCUACCAAGAAAGCUCCCGUGGAACUGCUGAAGCACGAAUGGGUGACAUAAGAUGGCAGAAUUGUGGCAGAGCUCUUGGACAGUACUGCCCUACUCUAACCAGUGGCUCUACAGACUCUUCUGUCCAGGUAGUCCCUUUUUCCCUGGGAAAGGUUAGAAACUGCCAAUGCUCCAACACCUUCCUUUGCCAAGAAAUGGUCCCUUGAUGGAACUGAAGCUGCUGUGGCUGCAGGCAGGGGAAGACAAUUCUGCGGGCAUGAGGCUGGCCUGGAAAGUGGAACUUUGGAGGUGGGAGAAUGCCUGUGUUUCGGUCCAAGCUCUGGAGAUGCUGAGACUGUGUUGUCCUGACCUUGUCACGUUCCUUUAUCUUUAUGAGGACUUGCAAAGCCAAUUUAUUCAUCACAGUGCAGUAUACCAGCAGCUGGUUUCAUAUUUAACCAGUAGGAAUUAUUUUGCAGACGUAUCUCCUUUGUCUGCUUAUCAUCUGGAGAAACAAUUGGUGCAUAUACCAAAGUUGACCAGACUUCUUUCUUUACAUUGUGAUACCAGUUGUAUUGCUCAUUGACCCAUAGAGUUACAUUAGGUGCUAUGGAAAUACAUAAUCAAAAUAAUAACAUUUCAAGAUGCACAUUUAAAUAUAUCAUAUAUACUUUUUCAUAGAGAGGGAAGGAAGUUAUUUUGUUUCAUGCUUUCAAUGAUGUAUAUUACUUUUUGUGGCUCAAACCCAUGGAAAAUGAAUAAAACAGAACAAAUGAAAAGGCA